rnacentral:rRNA from 1 species
CCUACGGGAGGCAGCAGUGAGGAAUAUUGGUCAAUGGACGAGAGUCUGAACCAGCCAAGUAGCGUGAAGGAUGACUGCCCUAUGGGUUGUAAACUUCUUUUAUAUGGGAAUAAAAUGUUCCACGUGUGGGAUUUUGUAUGUACCAUAUGAAUAAGGAUCGGCUAACUCCGUGCCAGCAGCCGCGGUAAUACGGAGGAUCCGAGCGUUAUCCGGAUUUAUUGGGUUUAAAGGGAGCGUAGGUGGAUUGUUAAGUCAGUUGUGAAAGUUUGCGGCUCAACCGUAAAAUUGCAGUUGAAACUGGCAGUCUUGAGUACAGUAGAGGUGGGCGGAAUUCGUGGUGUAGCGGUGAAAUGCUUAGAUAUAACGAAGAACUCCGAUUGCGAAGGCAGUUCACUGGACUGUAACUGACACUGAGGCUCGAAAGUGUGGGUAUCAAACAGGAUUAGAUACCCUAGUAGUC